rnacentral:misc_RNA from 1 species
UUUUGGUGUAUAUUCAAGUAGAAAAUCAAUCAGUAUAAACUGCAACCUGAUAUUGAUUUUAUCAAGUUUCUUUCCACAAUGAAAUCUUCAUUCAUUCAUGUUGUGUUCUGAUGAACUUUGCUGAGGUUCCUCAGAGCCACCCCAAGUUCUGAUGCGCUCUUCAGCUUUCAAAGCUUCUUUGUUCCAGUUAGUACGCAGAAAGACGAAAGUCAGAAUGAUUAUUUGAAGAACACAACCAGCCAACAUUCCUGACCAUAUGCCCUUAACACCUAGAUUUAUUUUAUAGCCAAGAACAGCACCAAUAGGAAGUCCUAUGAUGUAGUAACAUCCAGUAUUGAUGAAGGCAACUAACAACUGCCACCCGGCACCCACUGCCACCCCAUGGAGCACAGGUUGGAUGCUAUUGAGGAAGAUUGUUGCUGCCAAAAAGUAACCAAGCUUUGAUGCCUCCUUCAUGACUGCUGCUUUACCAGUGAACACCUUUGGAAAGUCAUUCUUGGUUACCAGAAUCAACGCUGUGAAUACAACUCCAAUUAUUGUUGAAGUUAAAACGGUCACCACCACUGAGAAUUUUGCUGCUUUAGGAUUUCCAGCUCCAAGCUCAUUUGAUACUCGCACACUUAUGGCUGCAUUGAAACCAAGAGCAAUCAUCAGAGCCCACAGUUGCAGGUUCAUGCAGAUGGAAACGGCAUCUACUGCAAUUUCUGGAUUGUCUAACCAUCCCACCAUAAGAAUCACAGCUGUAAAAUACCAUAACUCCAAGCAUAACAUUACAGCUGAUGCAAGUGAGAGCUUUAGAAAACUGGUUAAUGACUUCAAAGCUGACCAAGAAAAACCAGUCCAGGCUUCUGGGAAAAAACCACAGACCACAUAAAUAAUCUGACCCAAAACCACAAGCCACCAUGAGAUGUUCCCUGCGAUGGCAGCACCAAGUAGCCCGUGAUCCAGUUUUGUGACAAGCACCCAAUUCAACAACACAUGAAAUGCAAGCGCCGCUAUGGAAAUGAUUGUCAUAAUCCAUACUCUGCUCUGCGCUUGGAGAAACUUUU